rnacentral:rRNA from 1 species
ACGGGGGGUGCAAGCGUUGUUCGGAAUUAUUGGGCGUAAAGAGCGUGUAGACGGCCUGAUGUGUCAGAUGUGAAAGCCCUGGGCUUAACCCAGGAAGUGCAUUUGAGACUGGAUGGCUUGAGUGGGGAAGAGGGAAGUGGAAUUCCCAGUGUAGCGGUGAAAUGCGUAGAGAUUGGGAGGAACACCAGUGGCGAAGGCGACUUACUGGGCCGUAACUGACGUUGAUGCGCGAAAGCGUGGGGAGCGAACAG